rnacentral:tRNA from 1 species
GUCGUCGGCCGGGUGCUGGAGUCGACCCGCGCGAUCAGGCCGUCCGCCCGCAGGUCGAUCCCGGAGGCCGGGCCGGCUCCGGGCCGGCCGACGUCGC